UACGAAGGGGGGCUAGCGUUGUUCGGAAUUACUGGGCGUAAAGCGUAUGCAGGCGGACUUUUAAGUCGGGGGGUGAAAUCCCGAGGCUCAACCUCGGAACUGCCUUCGAUACUGGAAGUCUUGAGUCCGGGAGAGGUGAGUGGAACUCCGAGUGUAGAGGUGAAAUUCGUAGAUAUUCGGAAGAACACCAGUGGCGAAGGCGGCUCACUGGCCCGGUACUGACGCUGAGGAGCGAAAAGCCAGGGG
rnacentral:rRNA from 1 species